rnacentral:rRNA from 1 species
AUGCACGCUGGCGGCGUGCCUAAUACAUGCAAGUCGAGCGAACAGACGAGGAGCUUGCUCCUCUGACGUUAGCGGCGGACGGGUGAGUAACACGUGGAUAACCUACCUAUAAGACUGGGAUAACUUCGGGAAACCGGAGCUAAUACCGGAUAAUAUAUUGAACCGCAUGGUUCAAUAGUGAAAGACGGUUUUGCUGUCACUUAUAGAUGGAUCCGCGCCGCAUUAGCUAGUUGGUAAGGUAACGGCCUACCAAGGCAACGAUGCGUAGCCGACCUGAGAGGGUGAUCGGCCACACUGGAACUGAGACACGGUCCAGACUCCUACGGGAGGCAGCAGUAGGGAAUCUUCCGCAAAGGGCGAAAGCCUGACGGAGCAACGCCGCGUGAGUGAUGAAGGUCUUCGGAUCGUAAAACUCUGUUAUUAGGGAAGAACAAAUGUGUAAGUAACUAUGUACGUCUUGACGGUACCUAAUCAGAAAGCCACGGCUAACUACGUG